UACAGAGGGUGCGAGCGUUGUCCGGAAUCACUGGGCGUAAAGGGCGCGUAGGCGGCCCGGUAAGGUUGCGGUGAAAGCCCGGGGCUCAACCCCGGGUCGGCCGUGGCAACUGCUGGGCUGGAGCACAGUAGAGGCGGGUGGAAUUCCGGGUGUAGCGGUGGAAUGCGUAGAGAUCGUAAGGAAGACCAGUGGCGAAGGCGGGUCUCUGGACAGUUCCUGACACUGAGGCACGAAGGCCAGGGGAGCAAACGGG
rnacentral:rRNA from 1 species